rnacentral:lncRNA from 10 species
UAUUGUUGCUGUUAACCAUAGAACAACAGGUAGGGGUGGGAGACAUGGGGGAUGAGAAGGAGAUGGCAUAGCCACACCCUGAGUUCAGAAGAGCAGAAGAUCCCAUCUAAAAUUCCCAAUGAUGGCAGCCAUUCUCUCCCCAGGCAUCUGACUGGCACCUCAGUGAUGGGAGUGAAAUAGCAUUUAUUAUCUGGUGACAUUUCGCAGGCAGCUUUUUACCUCCGCUUCCCCUGAGAUGUGAUAACAAAAGAUUGUCUGAUCUUCCUUUUACCCAUCUCCCCAGCUCCCUACCACCCCCAGUUCCCUUUCAUCCCUGCGUUUGAGGGCAACUGUUCUUCUGUCUCGAGGUUGGGCUGGCCAGAGCAAACAUAGCUUUCCCGGGGGAGACCAGGCCAUCUUUCUUCCUCUUACUUCAAAGGGGCUUUGGAACGCUCCACCCCAUGGGCUGAACAGAAUGUAUUUCAUUUUUUAGGAGGCUGGAAUCAGCUGCCGAGAAGGGCAGGGGCACCUUGGGCUCUCCUUCCCUUCCCCAUCUCCAGGACUCAGUAAGGAGGGAGGGCAUGAAAUCUCAGGCUCCUGGGCGGGGCUGGGGAGGCCGGCCUUGUCACAGGCAGGAGGGGCCGCAUUCCUUCCUCAGCAGCUGGUGGAGCUGGGCCUGAGCAGGACUUCCCCAAAGGACUGAGAAGGAAGCCUCCACUCUGUCGUCGCUCUCUGCUUGGAAUUGCCUUCGGAAGACAUCCUCAAUCCUGCCCCAGCCUUACGAUUGUUUUGUGUCAUUAGAUGAAGUCACUUCACUUCUGAAGCUCACUUGCCUUUUCUAAAAACCGGAGGCUGAUAAGGAUUGCAGGAAACUCAUGGAGUUGUUCCGAGGUUAAAAUGAGAGUCUGCCUGUGGAAGGACAUUGCAGAUGAUAGAAGACACAGAUGUAAGGCAUCUACCUUAUCUUUACCAGUUUCAUCUUCUUCAUCUUCAUCUCAUUACCAUGGUCAUCCUCGUUAGCAGGGAAGAGCAGGAGUUCUCACGGCAGGAUAGGCUUCGCGGCUGUGCUGGGAAAUGCCUGUCUGAAGUAGGCCACACAUGGGCUGUGUGGAGAGCUGCACAAUAGAAUGGAAAAGAGCACUGAAUCAGGAGUAAAAAGAGCUGGGUGUUGACUUGGUACAUCCACAAACUAGCUGUGUAACCUUGUGGAUGCCGUGAAUGUCUCUGUGCUUCAGCCUCCUCGCCUGCAAGGUGUUCCUUGUUCUGAAGAGGAGAAACAGUAAAAAAUUUGCCAAGGACCCAAGAUAGAAGACUGUGGGCCCAGAUCCUAAUGUAAAAGAAGCCUGCCUCAACUUAAUUUUCCUGGACAGCAAGAGCUAUGAAAAUGAACUGGGUGAAUAUUGGUGUUUUCAGCUUGAGGUUCCAAUGAAUUAGGACAAUCAGAAGGAAGAGUUUAAUUUUGGGGUCUAGCAUGAGACCAUUCAGUUCAAACUUUCAUUUCACAGUUAGGAAACUAGACCCAGAGAGGCACAGUGCUUCGGCUUGAUGCUAAUAGACUGAUUUUGGAAGGCAGUUGAGCUGGAAGACACAGAUCUGGGGGCUGUCAGCCAAGGGCUGAGAAGGAUGUGAAUUAAGAAGGUGGGAAGGGAAUUGAUGGUUAAGGCCUGAGUCUUGAGAGAAACCCAUGGCCAGGAGCAGAGGAGUUAAGAUUCAUUCAGAAAUGCUCCUACAGACGUGGGAGAACAAGGAUUGUUCAGUAUAAUGGAAGCCAAAGGAGAGGGUUUUGAGGAGCAAAAGACUAGCCAACAGUAGCAAUUGUGUCAAGGUGAUCAAGGAAUAAGAUGUAAACAAUUGUUGGAUUUAUAAUAUGAUUUUAAAAGUGCAGUUUCAGUAAAGUGGUAAGAAUGGGAGGACAAUCAAAUGGCACGUGGUGUGUGUGUGUGUGUGUGGAGGUUGUGGUGUGUGUGGGGGGGGAUGUAUGUGUGGAGAGUGUGGCAUGAGAUGCAUGUGCAUAUGUAUGUUUAGGAUGAGGUGUGUGUGGAGAGUGAGAUGUGUGUGUGUAGGAUAUGAGGUGUGUGAGCUGUGUGUGUGUGUGUGUGAUGUGUGUGUAGGGUGCAGUGUUGUGGUAUAUGUGUAUGUGUACAUGGUGUGGGGGGUGCAGGGUGUGUGUGUAUGUAGGAUGCGGUGUGUGUGGAGAGUGAGAUGUGUGUGUAGAGUGCAAUGUGUAUGGGGUGUUUGUAGGGUGCGCUGUACAUGUGGGCAGUGUGUGUGUAUUCUGACUGAAUGCUGAGCACUGGUGCUUGAGCUCUCCUGCCCUGCCUGGGAGGUGGUGUGUCUGAGGUGAGGGGAAGGCUGACCCAGCUGAUGGGUCCUGUGAGGCAGAGGUUGAGGAGGGAGCCAGAGAUGAGAACCAACAACAUGCUCCAGGAAGAGGGACAGGCGCAGAAGCAAGGGGACACCAGACUGGAACAGAUGGACUCAUGCAGUUGUUCCUUGAUGGCCUGUUCACAUAUAGCAUUUGCCAUGUCCCACAAAUGCAGAAUUCUGGUGGAACCACAGUGCGUGGAAGUUCCAGGAGACUGAAAGUGGUGCAAGGUUAAGUGUGUUACAUAUGUAAUUGAGUAAUCAGGGGUGCUGACAGCCCGACAGGCCAUGCCUUCCAUUCGAACCAGAGCUUGCUUCACAUAGAAAGAAAGCAAUGGCUUUCUAAGGAAUGUGGACAAGUGAGGAACCCUAUCAUAUCCUUCUUACUCAUUUCUUCCCUGUGUUAACCAACCACUUACGCUGAAAAUGAUGACACAGAAGAAAGGGAAAGACAGGACAACCCAUAGUUCCUUUUCCUUUCAGCCCUUCCUUACUCAUCAGUAAGCUGAAGGUCAAGAGUAUUGAUGGAACAUGCACGUUAUCAAGAAGUAAAAUUAAAACAGUUGAGUUAGUUUUGUGCAGUGUUCCCGCUGCUCUGGUAAGGACAAAAUAUAUACGCAAGUAAGAGCUAGGAAAUAUGAACUGUGUAAUUUCAAUGAUUCCACGUAUGAGUCAAAUGCACUUAUUUUCAUUUACAACUAACACUACACAACAUAAAGAAUAGUAAAAUUCAUACUAAUAAUUAAAUUUUAAAUUUUUCUUUACUUAAAAUGACAUUAAAUAUCAAAUUAAAAACAUCAUGACUAGUAAAAAAAAAUUGUGGAAGAAAGAAAAAGUUUUAUGCUUUGGUGACCCUUAAUGGCCUUAUUUCCCUCUGGUUUUUGAACAAGGAGCUCGAUAUUUUCAUUUUGUACUGGGCCCUGAAAAUUAUGUUACUGGCCCUGGGUGAGAUGGUUGUUUAUAUUUGUAUGACCAGGGUCAAAAAACAGUCUUGGAACCACAGGAGCAGGGAAGAUUCACCAAUAAAUUGAUGAACACAAGUCUUCAUCAUUACCCACACACACUCACUGGCCCCUCAACAUUGGUAACAAUGGCCAUGGGUGGAGAGUUAAGAAGAUGAUAACUCCCAGAAAACUAUGCUUUUUCUGCUGAUAACUCUUCAACAUCUCACCACACCCAAUAUCUCUGCUUUUGUUAACAAACCAUGAACUGCUUCAAGUUGUCAUACCCUUUCUCACUGUCUUUCUUCUGAUUGGAACGGCCUGGUGAGAGCAGGCUGGUGGGAACACACACCUUCCGAAAGGCCCUCACCACAGCAGAUCACUGCUGGCGUCCGAGCUACUUCCUGCUUGUCCUGUUGUGUCCUUCAUCAGUGACCGCACUCUUGGAGUGCUUGCCUCUGGCUCCUGUUUUCCACCCAUUUCUCAGCCUGGUAACUCCUGGUUUCCAGUCUUAGUGGGCCCACUGCUCUGCUCCCACCUCCUGUGAUAGGGUCGGGAGAGCCGCCAACCCCACUUGACUCCUGGACCCCAUCCAGGCUGUGGUAUGUGCCAGCACCAUCUUCCCAAAGGAUGCUGCCCCUCCCUGAGGCUCAUGGUAUAGCUCUUCUCCCAUAUUCAUACCCCCGUCUUGAAGCCUGGCCCACAUAGGGUUUCCAGAAAGCCUUCCCCGAACCACUAAUAGAAACCCUACUAUACUCACACCUUCCUUAAGAGAUACUUCACAAACCCAGUUUUGUGCGGUGCAAAGGGGAUGAAAUCAGAAAUAACAUAGGUUUAAAUCCUGGUUAACUAACUGAUUUUUGAGUCUGUCAAUAAACCUCUCUGUGCCUCAAUUUCCCCAUCUACAAAAACAGGAUUGUGAUACUUACCUCAUAGGAUCAUUGUGAGGAUUAUGAGAAAUAGCACAGGCAAAGCACCUAGGUGCUGCCUGGCAUGUCCCAGCACUCAGUAAAAGCUCCCCCAACACUUUUCUCCCCCUGCUGGGGUUGGGCACCAUGCCUUAUUCAUGCCUUUAUUCCUUGCAGCACCUAGAGUAACAUCUUGUGGCUGGCAGAUGAUCAAUGCCUGUGGAUUGAAUUAAAUUAAAACUUUCCUUGUGUUACACUGUUCUCUCCAUGUCCCCAGUUGUAAUAUCCUCUUAAAAGUAUCAUCGCUUGGCUGGGCACGGUGGCUCAUGCCUGUAAUCCCAGCACUUUGGGAGGCUGAGGCGGGUGGAUUACAAGGUCAGGAGAUCGAGACCAUCCUGGCUAACACGGUGAAACCCCGUCUGUACUAAAAAUACAAAAAAAAAAAAAAAAAUUAGCUGGGCGUGGUGGUGGGCGCCUGUAGUCCCAGCUACUCGGGAGGCUGAGGCAGAAGAAUGGCAUGAACCCGGGAGGGGGAGCUUGCAGUGAGCCGAGAUCGCGCCACUGCACUCCAGCAUGGGCAACAGAGUGAGACUCCGUGUCAAAAACAAACAAAAAAAAGUAUCAUUGCUCAGCUUAUAAGUUCUACUUCAUGUUACUGCAGAUUGUGACCCCCAAAUGAAGUAACUUUUGCUGUUCCUUCUUAUUAAAAAUAAUACAUGCUCAAUAUAUAAAUAAAAAUACAAGCAAAAAGAGUAUUAAAAAGUCUGAUAAUUCUACCCACACAGACAUAGCUAGUAUUAACAUCUCUCCAUUAGCUUUUCAAUGCAAUGCAGCUAUUAUAUCUAUGUGUGUGCAUGUAUACAUGUAUGUAUAAUAUUUUGCUGAGGGAGGAAGGUGGAAAUAGCAUAUUAAGAGAGGGAUGUGGGCUUUAGAAUAGAAAAAAUUCAGCAAGCCUGUGCUCUGUGAGUGUGAAAAUAACCACUGGUGUCUACUUAGAUUCAGUAGGGUGGGAGUCUUGCUGGAAAUGCUUUUUAAAUUUCUAGUGCCAUAAUCUUUCUUUCAUCCAAAGAGGAAAAAAUGAGUCUUUACGUAUUUUUUAAUGUAGCGAUAAUUAUCAUUCAUCAGCAUACUGCACACUCUUUAUUUGGGUGUUUAUUAAGGAUCUAUUUCAUGCCAGACGCUGGAGUUGGCACUAAAAACAAGGAUACGGUUACUGCUCUCAGUGAGUUUUCAGUCUGGUGGGGGACACACAUGAGAAAUAGCACAGGCAAAGCCCCUGGGUGCUGCCUGGCAUGUCCCAGCACUCAAUAAAAGCUCCCCCCAACACUUUUCUC